AAGGGCACCACAAGAACGCGUGGAGCAUGUGGCUUAAUUUGACUCAACGCGGGAAAUCUUACCGGGUCCGGACACACUGAGGAUUGACAGGCUCUUCAGUUGUCUAGCCUUUUUAAAAACCAAUAUACUUCUCCUUUAUUAUAUAAAGGGUUGUAUUCUUUUAAAUUGAUUCGAUCAUCGAUCAAAUAUGCUAGUCCUUUCAUGAUUGUGUGGUAGGUGGUGCAUGGCCGUUCUUAGUUCGUGGUGUAAACUGUCUGCUUAAUUGCGUUUCAUUACGUGUUUCUAAUAGAACACUGGUUGUUAGGCUCCCUCUAUAUAUAUAAUAUAGGGGUGCUAUUGCAUUCCUUUAUUAUUUUUAAAAGGGCCUUGUAUGCUUAAGCCGGUGAAAUGAAACCGGAAGGCAACGAACGUGACCGCAGCCUCUUGUUGCCUUUUGUUUUGCCCUUUUACUUGUUAAAAACAAGGCAAAUAAUAUACAGAGGCUUUAUAUAAAACUAGAGGGANCGCUAGAAAUACUCGUUAAAACGGAGGAAGGUGGCGGCAAUAACAGGUCUGUGAUGCCCUUAGAUGUUCCGGGCCGCACACGUGCUACAAUGAUUAUAGCAGUGAGCAUCUUUAGAACAUCUAAACGUACUUAAAAGGAGACAGGUAUAUAGCACUAGCAUGUUGUAACCUUCCCUUUUAAUUUAACCUGCUUUGAAAGUAAGCAGGGAAUCAAUGAGAAGUCGUAGUUUCCCUUUAUUAUUGUUAUUUACUCUUUUAUAAAUGUAGUAUUAACAAUCAAUAUUGAAGCACAUCUAUAUGCUUUAGUGUUCAACUGUAAUGCAUAUAAGGGGUUUUCAGUUUUAACUAAUACCCCUUGCUUUACAGCUAAUAGCAUGUGCUUAAAAAUAAAACAAGUCUCUGUUGCUUUGGUACACUUAUAACGAGACUGCUUUUAAAAUUCGUGGUAGGGACAGACCAUUGUUAAUUGUUGGUCUCGGUCUUAACUAGGAAUGCCUUGUACGGGUCUUUGGUUCAACAAACCACCCGGAAUAUGUCCCUGCCCUUUGUACACACCGCCCGUCGCUCUUACCGAUGAACUACGCUGUGAGUUUAAGGGACUGGCUUUAGUCUUUAUAUAGCCAUAUAUAUAACUAUAUACCUAUAUAGUUGUUUAGUGCUAUGGGCUAGCUAUGGAAACUUAUGCGAACAGUGUGGUUUAAAGGAAAGAGAAGUCGAACAAGGCA
rnacentral:rRNA from 1 species